rnacentral:rRNA from 1 species
AACCGCGGUUAGACGAGAGGCCCCAGUUGAUUAACUUACGGCGUAAAGAGUGGUUAUGGAGAUUAAAUAAUAAAGCCGAAUGGCCCCUUGGCCGUCAUACGCUCCUGGGAGUCCGAAGCCCAACCACGAAAGUAGCUUUAAAAACUACCUGAACCCACGAAAGCUAAGAAA